rnacentral:lncRNA from 1 species
UUGAUUCAAAUUGAGGAACCAUUGCCAUGAGAUUCUAAGAGAGAAAGAUCCAAGAUACAUUUGAGAGCUUUUCAAGAGUUCAUUUGAUUGAUGAUUGCUUGAGUUUAUGCUUAUGUGAUUGCUUAUUCCAAAGGAUGGGAGCUACUUGGAUCAUCAAUAUGAUCUCAAGAGAGGAACUCCAUUUGUGGUUUUGUUUCUUGUCCCUUAUCUCUUGUAUGUUUAGG